rnacentral:rRNA from 1 species
GGCCGACAGGCGUAGUCGAUGGAUAACGGGUUGAUAUUCCCGUACCGGCGCUGGUGCGCCAAUGCUGAAUCUCGCUGUACUAACCUUUCGUUUUCUUAGCCUUCGGGUGUUGGGAAUGUCUGGGAUCUUGGUGGGUAGUAGGCAA